UCCCUAUAAAAUCCCUGGGAAGGCAUCAAGUUGGUUCUAAUGGGGUCAUGCUGUCAUUCUGCAAUGGACUGUGGUGGCCAGCAGAGAUGGGAUGUGCCAAUUGACCACUCCAGUGGCCACCCUUACCAUGUAGGCUUCGAGUGGGUGGAAGCUGGAUCCCUAGGGAGGAUGAGGCCCAGGCUUGAGUCCAGGCACCAACAAGAGCGCGUUCCCACCCUCCCGAAGGUCUGAUGUGGAGCAGAGGAAAAGAAUGGUCCUGA
rnacentral:lncRNA from 1 species